rnacentral:rRNA from 1 species
GACGAACGCUGGCGGCGUGCCUAAUACAAGCAAGUCGAACGAGAGCGACCGGUGCUUGCACUGGUCAAUCUAGUGGCGAACGGGUGAGUAACACGUGGGUAACCUGCCCAUCAGAGGGGGAUAACAUUCGGAAACGGAUGCUAAAACCGCAUAGGUUCUUUAGUCGCAUGACUGAAGAAGGAAAAGAGGCUUCGGCUUCUGCUGAUGGAUGGACCCGCGGUGCAUUAGCUAGUUGGUGAGGUAACGGCUCACCAAGGCCGUGAUGCAUAGCCGACCUGAGAGGGUGAUCGGCCACAUUGGGACUGAGACACGGCCCAAACUCCUACGGGAGGCAGCAGUAGGGAAUCUUCCGCAAUGGACGCAAGUCUGACGGAGCAACGCCGCGUGAGUGAAGAAGGAUUUCGGUUCGUAAAACUCUGUUGUUAGAGAAGAACAGCGCAUAGAGUAAACUGUUAUGCGU